UACGAAGGUGGCUAGCGUUGUUCGGAAUUACUGGGCGUAAAGCGCACGUAGGCGGAUUUGUAAGUCAGGGGUGAAAUCCCGGGGCUCAACCUCGGAACUGCCUUUGAUACUGCAAGUCUUGAGUCCGAGAGAGGUGAGUGGAAUUCCUAGUGUAGAGGUGAAAUUCGUAGAUAUUAGGAAGAACACCAGUGGCGAAGGCGGCUCACUGGCUCGGUACUGACGCUGAGGUGCGAAAGCGUGGGGAGAAAACAGG
rnacentral:rRNA from 1 species